AACACGUAGUCAAUCUACCCUAUGGACGGGGAUAACCUCGGGAAACUGAGGAUAAAACCCGAUAGAUCAUAGUGCCUGGAACGGCUUAUGGUCCAAAUGAUUCGUCGCCGUAGGAUGGGACUGCGGCCUAUCAGCUUGUUGGUGAGGUAAUGGCCCACCAAGGCUAUUACAGGUACGGGCUCUGAGAGGAGAAGCCCGGAGAUGGGUACUGAGACACGGACCCAGGCCCUAUGGGGCGCAGCAGGCGAGAAACCUUUGCAAUGUGCGCAAGCACGACAAGGUUAAUCCGAGUGUUUCCUGCUAAAGGAAUCUUUUGUUAGUUUUAAAACCACUAUUGAAUAAGGGGUGGGCAAGUUCUGGUGUCAGCCGCCGCGGUAAAACCAGCACCUCAAGUGGUCAGGAGGAUUAUUGGGCCUAAAGCAUCCGUAGCCUGUUCUGUAAGUUUCCGGUUAAAUCCAUUAGCUCAACUAAUGGGCUGCCGAAAAUACUGCAGAACUAGGGAGUGGGAGAGGUAGACGGUACUCGGUAGGAAGGGGUAAAAUCCUUUGAUCUAUUGAUGACCACCUGUGGCGAAGGCGGUUUACCAGAACACGUUCGACGGUGAGGGAUGAAAGCUGGGGGAGCAAACCGGAUUAGAUACCCGGGUAGUCCCAGCUGUAAACGAUGAAGACUCGGUGAUGCGCUGGCUUGUGGCCAGUGCAGUGCCGCAGGGAAGCCGUUAAGUUUGCCGCCUGGGAAGUACGUACGCAAGUAUGAAACUUAAAGGAAUUGGCGGGGGAGCACCACAAGGGGUGAAGCCUGCGGUUCAAUUGGAUUCAACGCC
rnacentral:rRNA from 1 species